rnacentral:rRNA from 1 species
GAGGUUAGUGCAAUGGCAUAAGCCCGCUUGACUGCGAGAAUGACAAUUCGAGCAGGUGCGAAAGCAGGUCAUAGUGAUCCGGUGGUUCUGAAUGGAAGGGCCAUCGCUCAACGGAUAAAAGGUACUCCGGGGAUAACAGGCUGAUACCGCCCAAGAGUUCAUAUCGACGGCGGUGUUUGGCACCUCGAUGUCGGCUCAUCACAUCCUGGGGCUGAAGUCGGUCCCAAGGGUAUGGCUGUUCGCCAUUUAAAGUGGUACGCGAGCUGGGUUUAGAACGUCGUGAGACAGUUCGGUCCCUAUCUGCCGUGGGCGUUGGAAGAUUGAAGGGGGCUGCUCCUAGUACGAGAGGACCGGAGUGGACGAACCUCUGGUGUUCGGGUUGUGUCGCCAGACGCAUUGCCCGGUAGCUAAGUUCGGAAUCGAUAACCGCUGAAAGCAUCUAAGCGGGAAGCGAGCCCUGAGAUGAGUCUUCCCUGAUACUUUAAGUAUCCUAAAGGGUUGUCGGAGACUACGACGUUGAUAGGUCAGGUGUGUAAGUGCUG